rnacentral:rRNA from 1 species
UACCGUAGGGGGCGAAGCGUUGGUCCGGAAUUUAUUUGGGCGUAAAAAGGCUUGGUAGGAUGGCCACGCGAAGUCGGAUGUGAAAUCUCCCGGCUCAACUGGGAGGGGUCAUUCGAUGACUGGCGGCAUCGAGGCCGUAGGGGGAACGGAAUCCGGUGUAUGUGGUGGAAUGCGAUAGAUAUCGGGAGGAACACCAGUGGCG